ACAGGCAGUAACAUUCCCCGUUGGCUCGUUCACAUUUGAUCAGCUCUGGGACUGAACCACACUAGGACAUGGAUGAAGGCACUCUUGAGAUUUAACUGCAGCGUGUACAUGAAGGAAGACAAAACAAGGACCCCGAUGAUAGAUAUUGCCAGAGCGACACUCAGACAAUACACCAGGAGAAGCGGGACUGUAGUGGGUGAUGGAAGCCAGUGCGCAGUGGUAGGUUCCUGCAUCUGAGGACCUCACCA